CUUUUUCUUGCUUAUAAACCCACCUCCCCUGCUUUCAUCUCCUCUCACAGGAACUUCUUAAAAAAUAAGAACUUUCCCCUGUUUUCUCCUCUUGGGCUCUCCUCUCUACGCAGUAGCAAGCAGCAAUACUUCAUCUUCAUCAACAGCCUCAUUUGGGUUUUUCUUUAACUUCCUUCGCCUGCUCGCUCUCUUUAUUUCUGAGUAUUGAUCAGCAAGUGAUUUUAAGAGAUGGGCUGCUCGGGAUUUGACACUUGUGGUAUCCGAUUCUUUUUCUACUUCAGUCGGAUUGGCUAUUAAAUUCCAGACCAGAUUCUCGAUUUCGGUCUUGAUAAAUAUUUUUAGAAUCUUUUGACCAAAUUAGGAUCUGGGUUUUAUUUGUCUAUUUGUUUUUUUGUUGCGCUUGAUUCCUAUCUGUUCUUAUCUCAAUUUUCUUGGUGACCCAUCUCGAAAUUCUCCAUCAUUCAUUUGCUUAUAUAGUCUUUAGAGAGAGCGAGCAGGUUAGUUAUAUUUUCCAUAAUGGCUGCGGCUAAAAACAGCACAGGAAAAUCCAAGAAGGGUGUUGAUGAAACUCAGAGAUUGACGAGGCAAGAUUGGGAGCUUGACAGGGGCAAGAAGGAAGCUGACCUUAGCUUACCUGAAAGGCAGCAAUGGAAGCCAGUUUUUGGUGAAGCUUCCAUGGCAGAAAGACCUCCCAAGAAGAUCCGCAGCCCUGAACGCCAAGACCCAAUUCAAUUCUCUGCAUUUUCAGCACAUCAAUCCGUACCUUCUUUCUCUGUUUCUCCUAGCUUUGCCUCAGCUCUUUCUUUACAUCCACCUUCUUCUUCUGUCUCGUCUUCUAGUUCAAGACUUCUAUUUCCCUUUUCUUUUGAAGGGUGUAAUCAACCUAUGCAAUUCUCUCACCAGUUUAGAACAAACCCAUCUUUGCAUUAUUUUCGUUCACCACCUCAAGUGGCACAAAAUCAACAACAAAUGAUUUCUUUUGCUCAAAACCAGCAGCAAGGCAUCGGUUAUCCGCCAUUUUUUGCCGAGGAAUCUGCAUUGGCGGCGCAGCAGCAACAGCUGUUUCAGUACUGGAGUAAUGCAUUGAACUUAAGUCCAAGAGGAAGGAUGAUGAUGAUGAAUAGGCUGGGGCCAGAUGGUAGGCCAUUGUUUAGGCCACCGGUUCAGCCUAUAAACACAACAAAGCUUUACAGGGGAGUGAGGCAAAGACAUUGGGGUAAAUGGGUAGCUGAGAUUCGUCUCCCCCGUAAUAGGACUCGGCUUUGGCUAGGCACGUUUGACACAGCUGAAGAUGCUGCCAUGGCUUAUGAUCGCGAGGCUUUUAAGUUGAGAGGAGAGAAUGCAAGG
rnacentral:misc_RNA from 1 species